rnacentral:rRNA from 1 species
AGAGUGAACGCUGGCGGUAGGCCUAACACAUGCAAGUCGAACGGCGGCACAGUGGUAGCAAUACCAUGGGUGGCGAGUGGCGGACGGGUGAGGAAUACAUCGGAAUCUACCUUUUCGUGGGGGAUAACGGUAGGGAAACUUACGCUAAUACCGCAUACGCCCUUUGGGGGAAAGCCGGGGAUCGCAAGACCUGGCGCGGAUAGAUGAGCCGAUGUCGGAUUAGCUAGUUGGUGAGGUAAUGGCUCACCAAGGCGACGAUCCGUAGCUGGUCUGAGAGGAUGAUCAGCCACA